rnacentral:rRNA from 1 species
GAUGAACGCUGGCGGCGUGCCUAAUACAUGCAAGUCGAGCGAACAGACGAGGAGCUUGCUCCUCUGACGUUAGCGGCGGACGGGUGAGUAACACGUGGAUAACCUACCUAUAAGACUGGGAUAACUUCGGGAAACCGGAGCUAAUACCGGAUAAUAUAUUGAACCGCAUGGUUCAAUAGUGAAAGACGGUUUUGCUGUCACUUAUAGAUGGAUCCGCGCCGCAUUAGCUAGUUGGUAAGGUAACGGCUUACCAAGGCAACGAUGCGUAGCCGACCUGAGAGGGUGAUCGGCCACACUGGAACUGAGACACGGUCCAGACUCCUACGGGAGGCAGCAGUAGGGAAUCUUCCGCAAUGGGCGAAAGCCUGACGGAGCAACGCCGCGUGAGCGAUGAAGGUCUUCGGAUCGUAAAACUCCGUUAUUAGGGAAGAACAAAUGUGUAAGUAACUAUGCACGUCUUGACGGUACCUAAUCAGAAAGCCACGGCUAACUACGUG